rnacentral:rRNA from 1 species
GAUGAACGCUGGCGGCGUGCCUAAUACAUGCAAGUCGAGCGAAUGGAUUGAGAGCUUGCUCUUAUGAAGUUAGCGGCGGACGGGUGAGUAACACGUGGGUAACCUGCCCAUAAGACUGGGAUAACUCCGGGAAACCGGGGCUAAUACCGGAUAACAUUUUGAACCGCAUGGUUCGAAAUUGAAAGGCGGCUUCGGCUGUCACUUAUGGAUGGACCCGCGUCGCAUUAGCUAGUUGGUGAGGCAAGGGCCUACCAAGGCGACGAUGCGUUGCCGACCUGAGAGGGUGAUCGGCCACACUGGGACUGAGACACGGCCCAGACUCCUGCGGGAGGCAGCAGUAGGGAAUCAUCCGCAAUGGGCGAAAGCCUGACGGUGCAACGCCGCGUGAGUGAGGAAGGUUUUCGGAUCGUAAAGCUCUGUUGUGAGGGAAGAACAGCUUCCGGAGGAAAUGCCGGAGGUUUGCCGGUACCUCACCAGAAAGCCCCGGCUAACUACGUGCCAGCCGCCGCAGUAA